AACGAACGCUGGCGGCAUGCCUAACACAUGCAAGUCGAACGAGACCUUCGGGUUAGUGGCGCACGGGUGCGUAACGCGUGGGAAUCUGCCCUUUGCUUCGGAAUAACAGUUAGAAAUGACUGCUAAUACCGGAUGAUGUCUUCGGACCAAAGAUUUAUCGGCAAGGGAUGAGCCCGCGUAGGAUUAGGUAGUUGGUGGGGUAAAGGCCUACCAAGCCGACGAUCCUUAGCUGGUCUGAGAGGAUGAUCAGCCACACUGGGACUGAGACACGGCCCAGACUCCUACGGGAGGCAGCAGUGGGGAAUAUUGGACAAUGGGCGCAAGCCUGAUCCAGCAAUGCCGCGUGAGUGAUGAAGGCCUUCGGGUCGUAAAGCUCUUUUACCAGGGAUGAUAAUGACAGUACCUGGAGAAUAAGCUCCGGCUAACUCCGUGCCAGCCGCCGCCGUAACAC
rnacentral:rRNA from 1 species